UGCAAAUCAAUAUAAAUUGAUUAAUAUUUAUUUAUUAAUUUAUAUUGAUUUUAUUUAUAAUUUAUUAAAAAUAAUUAUAUAAUUUAAUGUUUUAGUAAUUUGUAGUGAAAAAAUAAUAUUAAUAAUAGUUUAUUAAGUAUUGUGAAAGAUAAUUGAAAUAAUUUGAAAAAUUAUUAUUUAAAAAGAAAAUUUUAUUUAUUGUACCUUGUGUAUCAGGGUUUAUCAAAUAAUUAAUAAUUAUUUAUUAAUCUCGAUUUUAUAAGAGUUAAUUAUUUAUUAAAGUUAAUGUGUCAAAAUUAUUUAAAAUAGAUAAUUAGAAAUGAAAUGUUAUUCGUUUAUAAAGGUAUCUAGUUUUUUUAGAAAUAAAUUUAAUUUACAAGUUUUUAAUUUUUUGUUUAUUUAUUAAAAUAAAAAAAUUAUUAAUUUGAAUAUUUUAAGGGAUAAGCUUUAAAAUAAAUUAUUAAAAAUGAGUAAUUUUAAUAUAAAAUGUAUGAAUAGAAUUUUCAAUCAUUUGUAAAUUUGUUAUAAAUUAUUUUAUAAUUUUUAUUAUUUACUAUUAUUUUAAGUUUUUAUAAAAAUUUUUUCAUAAAUUUUUUAUGAAAAUUAAUAAUGAUAAAAUUAGUAUAUUUUAUAUUGUACAUAUAAUUUUAUUUGAUAAGUUUAUAUAAAGAACUCGGCAAAUUUAUAUACUCGCCUGUUUAACAAAAACAUGUCUUUUUGAGUUAUUUUUAAAGUCUGACCUGCCCACUGAAUAAUUUUGAAUGGCCGCAGUAUUUUAACUGUGCAAAGGUAGCAUAAUCAUUAGUCUUUUAAUUGAAGGCUGGUAUGAAUGGUUGGACGAAGUAUAAUCUGUUUCAUAAAAAUUUAUUGUAGAAUUUUAUAUUUUAGUUAAAAAGCUAAAAUUUAAUUAAAAGACGAGAAGACCCUAUAAAUCUUUAUAUUUAAUAUAAUUUUAAUUUUUUUGAUGUAUUUUAUUUUAAUUUUAUUAAUUAUUUUGUUGGGGUGAUGUUAAAAUUUAAUGAACUUUUAAUUAUUAAAAAUCAUUAAUUUAUGAUUUAUUGAUCCGUUAAUAACGAUUAUAAGAUUAAGUUACUUUAGGGAUAACAGCGUAAUUUUUUUGGAGAGUUCUUAUUGAUAAAAAAGUUUGCGACCUCGAUGUUGGAUUAAGAUAUAUUUUUAGGUGUAGCCGCUUAAAUAUUAAGUCUGUUCGACUUUUAAA
rnacentral:rRNA from 1 species